AAGUCGUAACAAGGUAUCCGUAGGUGAACCUGCGGAUGGAUCAUUAACAAAGCAUUUAAAAGCUUUAAACACCACUGUGGUUGAAAGAAUAGGAGAUAAAGGGUGUGCGGGGGAGACGGCGGCAUUAGCCGACGAGCCCGCACCCGUUUACACUUAUUAACCCUAGUCAUUGAAUGAAUUAUACAUAUACAUGUUGUCUAUUAUACAUUUAUAAUGUUUAAUACAACUGCUAGCAACGGAUCACUCGGCUCUCGCAUCGAUGGAGAACGCA
rnacentral:misc_RNA from 1 species